GUGAAAGGUCUCAGGCCCCACUCCAACCAGUUGAAGUUUGAGAACCAGUGCCCUGGGGCAAGGACACGGACUCUGAGGACCUGUUUUGUCUGUUACCUUUCCUUUUCAGGCCAAUCCUGUGAGGUAAAGGAAUUUUAUUCCCACCCAACAAAGGAAGAAACAAAGGCUCAGAUGGGUCAUCUCACCCACUCCAGUUCCCUCCACCGGGCAGGUCUAGAGUUUGGACAGCGCUCAGGUCUGUGCGCCUUGUGAGCUUGGUGCUUUCCCAAAUGAUUGUCCUUCUUCCCAGCUCCCCCAGCAGUUUAGCUUCCCCCACCUCCUCCAGUCCUCCCACAGCCCUUCCUAGGAAGGCCAUUCAUCAGGGCUGACCUCAGAAUGCAACCUACCUGGCCAGCACCUUGAUCUUGGACUUCCUGGACUCCAGAACCAGGAGAAAUUCCUGUUAUUUAAGCCACCGGGUCUGUGGCUCUUCAUGAUGGCGGCCGAGCAGACGGCUCCCACUCCCAGUGUGAAGUCACUGAACUUGAGUCCAGAAGAAGCACGCAACAGGUGCUCUCCAUCAUUCCCACCGCACAGACACGGCAGCACGGACAACCUCAAGAGCACAGGAGCCCUGCCCUCUCCCCUCACGGCCACUCACAGGGCACAGUGUCACACAGGUACUCCCACCACUGACGAAGCGUGGAGUCCCCCAUCAUGUGGAUGAUGUGGCCAGCCAGGCAGCCCAGGAUGCUGUCAACAGUGGAGAAGGUGCGGCCAGAGCAGGACAGUGAGUGCCACACAGCUCGGUGGUAGAAGCCAGAGGGCUUUGGGCCCGGGAUCCCAGGUUGGCAUGGUUGUUGAGGGGACAGAACUGUAAAUAAUUAUUUGUAAGCAAAGCAAUCUAUGGGCACAGAAGAGUCUAAAGCCACAGGCAUGGAGUAAGCACUGCCUUUUCUGCAAGCCCCAGCGUCACUUACCCAGACUCUUGUUGCUCUCCUUGGCCACCCAGAUUGGAGAAAUACCCUGAGGGAGGACCUUGUCUGUCACAUUCCUGAAGAGAAACCAAUCAGCAAGAGGGGAGCCCUUAAUGGGAAUGUGUUAUGGGAAGGAAUCCUGGGCUGAGGUGAGAUGGGGCUUCUUGGAGGAAAGGAAGCUCUCAAAGUCAAGGGCAUCUGUCCAGUGUCAGGGCUCCUGGGAGAGAGUGAGGGCCUGGGGGCAGGAGAGGGAUUGGAAGCUGGAGUUCAGGGAUCCAGGGAUCAGGUUCUUUGCUUCGGGGAUUCUAUCGGUGCAGAAAGCAGAGCUGUUUUAAAAUGUACCCAGGAUUUUGGUUUUAUUUAGGUAUGGGGAGGCCAACAGAUCAGGAGAUGAUGGACGUGAGGAAGAUAAGGUGUUAGCCAGAGUUCCUGACAGCAAGAGCACCGUGCACCCCACGGGGUCACAGGGCAGAGGACAAAAACCUUUGUUGUGAUUUUCACAGGAAGGAAUAGGCAAGGAAGGGUAAGCAGCUGAGGAGGCUUAGGAUUGGAUCGUUUGAAUAAUUUCAGUGGGCUCUGGGCUAUAGAGGUGGAUUCUAAUUGUCAGUACCCGGCCCUGGGGUGAUUUCAGGUAGGGGGUGUUGGCCCGGCUGUGGGAGCCUGAUGAAAGGAGGCAGGGCGGUGGUGCGGCACUCAGCACUGGGUGGUAAGCUCAAGGCAAGUUGUUUGCUAUCUCUCGGUGCUAGCCACCCCCUCCCUAGGUCCACAAGGCCCCUAGGCGUCAAAGCAUCACAAAAGUACAGGAAAUUAAAAACAUGAUUCAGGGGCGCCUGGGUGGCUCAACUGGUUAAGCAUCGACUCUUGAUUUCAGCUCUGGUCAUGAUCUCAGGAUCAUGAGAUUGAACCCCGAGUCGGGCUCUGCACUGAGUGUGGUGGAGCCUGUUUAAGAUUCUCUCUCUCCCUUCCCCCCUUCACUCUUUCUCUCUCUUUUGAAAACAACAGCAACAACAAAACCAUGAUUCAUAUGGGAAAAGGUCUGGAGACUUUUGCAAGAAGUCCUGACUCUCCUCUUGGUCUCACUGAGCCCACUCCUGUUGGAUUCUCCUGACCAUCACCAGACCAGCAGUUGCUCCCUGAUCCCGGGGACGCCUCCCUCCCCUCUCCUACUAGCCCCUUGUGUGAGCCCCAUUCUCCACAGCUCCGGGCUCAGCCCUUGUUCCUCUUUCUGGAUCACACUCCCUCCCUUGGUGGUCUUACCUCAGCCAAGAUCUCCGGGCCAGUCUUCUCAGCCAAAUUCCAGGUUUGUUUUGAGUCUAGCAUCUGCUCUCCACUUGGUGUCUAAUGCACAUGACCAAACUUCCCCUCUCUACCCCCCACCCGCCGCUUUGUCACUCCAGCUGAUGGCAACUGUCCUUCCAUGUGAGUGGUCCCCAGACCCCACACUCAUCUGCGAGCUCUCACUUUUUGGCACAUUCCGUGUUCUCCCAGGACAUCCUAUGGGUACUGCCUUCAGAACAUACCCAGAAAUGAAUCACUUUAGUCACCUUUACUACUGCAACUCGAAGCAAAGGCCUCCCACCUUUCAGUCUCCCUGAUUCUCCCUUAACCUGCAAUCCAUUCCCAAUACAACAGUCUGAGAAAGCCUUUAAAAAUGAGAUCAGGAGUGCCUGUCUUCUGCUCAAAAUCCUGCAGUGACUCCCUUUUCACUUACAGCAAAAAUCAAUGUACUUACAGAGCCCUUCCUGGUCAUGACAUGCCCUUCCCCAACCCCACUGGUCUUCACCUGCCACCUCCCUGUCCUUCGCCCCAUCCCAGCCCAUUGACUUCCUUGCUGUUCCUCAGACACACCAGGCACACCGCGGCAUCUCCUCUGCCUCGAACCUCUUCUCUCAGGUACCUCCUGGGUCAACUCUCUCAUCCCCUUUAAGCCUUUGCUCAGAUGUCAGCUUCUUAAUGAGGUCUACCCUGACCCCCUAUUUAACACUGCAGUCUGUCCCCAGCAUACUCCUAAUCCUCACCUCCCGUGUAUUUUAAAUUUCCCCUAGCACGUAUCUCCUUCUAACAUUCUAUAUACUAUUUACUUAUUGCCGUGUUUCUUGUUUCUGACCCUCCCUCCUGUCUUAAGUGAGCUUUACCUGGGCAGGGAAAUGCUGAUGCAGUCCCAGGGCCUCCUGCAGGACCAUGCAUAUAGAGGGUGCUCAGCAUGCAUUUGAAUGAAGGAACGGACUGCUUGAAGGGGUUGUGUCUGAGGAGGAGAGGGGAAUUUGCUCCUGGGGGGAGAGGGGAUGAGAACAUUCCUACAAUCUAGAAAAAUGCCUGCGUAUGGCCUUGAGAGUGUCAGGGCCUUAGCGCCCCCUAGAGGUGACAGCUUCAGGAAGCAGGUGAUGGAUGGUUCCAAGGACUCUGGACCCAGGUGGAGAUGCCUGCCCUCCCAGCAGAGCCCAAGAUUACACAAGUUGGGACAGCGGGGACUUUGGGGUGACCAACGUGGACAGAAGACUAAGGACGGAUCCCAGGUGGCCAAGGUAUUAUUUUCUUUCUAGGAUCUUUGGUGAGGGAGCUCUUGCCACCAGCCCAGCUGCAGGGGUCCUCAGAUGGGAUUAAAGUUGAUGUAAAGAAAACACCUGACCUUGGGGCUGCAAAUUCACGUCCACAUUCACCACAUGUGUGGUUAUCUCUUUAACACCCGUAGCACACUGUUGGCUCCUGCGGACGGGACCACUUCUGCCCUGCUCUCCCAUCCCCCGGAUCUCCAGGCCUUUGGACAAUGUCCGACAGAGCAGGGGCCACUCAACAGCAGCAAAACACUUGGGACACGAUUAUUCCCCGCAGGACCCCGACUGCCUCGCUGGAGUGGAUCAGCCUCACUUGCACCUGGGCCUGUCCAGCCCAGAGCAGGGGGAAGGACAACAGGAUUUUCCUUGAACAAUCUCUUCUGGAUUUGUGUUUUGGAUUCCCUACUAGACUCUAAUACCCAACCACUCACCCUCCUCCUAAGGAUGAUGUCCCACCCUGCAAUGGCUGUCCCUGGAGUCCCACAGGGGCACAGUUUAAAGGACUGGAACUUCAUCAAGAUAAAAAGCUUUUGCAAGGCAAAGGAAAUACUCA